rnacentral:rRNA from 1 species
GGGUUGUGAGGUUAAGCGACUAAGCGUACACGGUGGAUGCCCUGGCAGUCAGAGGCGAUGAAGGACGUGCUAAUCUGCGAUAAGCGUCGGUAAGGUGAUAUGAACCGUUAUAACCGGCGAUUUCCGAAUGGGGAAACCCAGUGUGAUUCGUCACACUAUCAUUAACUGAAUCCAUAGGUUAAUGAGGCGAACCGGGGGAACUGAAACAUCUAAGUACCCCGAGGAAAAGAAAUCAACCGAGAUUCCCCCAGUAGCGGCGAGCGAACGGGGAGCAGCCCAGAGCCUGAAUCAGUGUGUGUGUUAGUGGAAGCGUCUGGAAAGGCGCGCGAUACAGGGUGACAGCCCCGUACACAAAAAUGCACAUAUUGUGAGCUCGAUGAGUAGGGCGGGACACGUGGUAUCCUGUCUGAAUAUGGGGGGACCAUCCUCCAAGGCUAAAUACUCCUGACUGACCGAUAGUGAACCAGUACCGUGAGGGAAAGGCGAAAAGAACCCCGGCGAGGGGAGUGAAAAAGAACCUGAAACCGUGUACGUACAAGCAGUGGGAGCCUCUUUAUGGGGUGACUGCGUACCUUUUGUAUAAUGGGUCAGCGACUUAUAUUCUGUAGCAAGGUUAACCGAAUAGGGGAGCCGAAGGGAAACCGAGUCUUAACUGGGCGUUAAGUUGCAGGGUAUAGACCCGAAACCCGGUGAUCUAGCCAUGGGCAGGUUGAAGGUUGGGUAACACUAACUGGAGGACCGAACCGACUAAUGUUGAAAAAUUAGCGGAUGACUUGUGGCUGGGGGUGAAAGGCCAAUCAAACCGGGAGAUAGCUGGUUCUCCCCGAAAGCUAUUUAGGUAGCGCCUCGUGAAUUCAUCUCCGGGGGUAGAGCACUGUUUCGGCAAGGGGGUCAUCCCGACUUACCAACCCGAUGCAAACUGCGAAUACCGGAGAAUGUUAUCACGGGAGACACACGGCGGGUGCUAACGUCCGUCGUGAAGAGGGAAACAACCCAGACCGCCAGCUAAGGUCCCAAAGUCAUGGUUAAGUGGGAAACGAUGUGGGAAGGCCCAGACAGCCAGGAUGUUGGCUUAGAAGCAGCCAUCAUUUAAAGAAAGCGUAAUAGCUCACUGGUCGAGUCGGCCUGCGCGGAAGAUGUAACGGGGCUAAACCAUGCACCGAAGCUGCGGCAGCGACACUAUGUGUUGUUGGGUAGGGGAGCGUUCUGUAAGCCUGUGAAGGUGUGCUGUGAGGUAUGCUGGAGGUAUCAGAAGUGCGAAUGCUGACAUAAGUAACGAUAAAGCGGGUGAAAAGCCCGCUCGCCGGAAGACCAAGGGUUCCUGUCCAACGUUAAUCGGGGCAGGGUGAGUCGACCCCUAAGGCGAGGCCGAAAGGCGUAGUCGAUGGGAAACAGGUUAAUAUUCCUGUACUUGGUGUUACUGCGAAGGGGGGACGGAGAAGGCUAUGUUGGCCGGGCGACGGUUGUCCCGGUUUAAGCGUGUAGGCUGGUUUUCCAGGCAAAUCCGGAAAAUCAAGGCUGAGGCGUGAUGACGAGGCACUACGGUGCUGAAGCAACAAAUGCCCUGCUUCCAGGAAAAGCCUCUAAGCAUCAGGUAACAUCAAAUCGUACCCCAAACCGACACAGGUGGUCAGGUAGAGAAUACCAAGGCGCUUGAGAGAACUCGGGUGAAGGAACUAGGCAAAAUGGUGCCGUAACUUCGGGAGAAGGCACGCUGAUAUGUAGGUGAAGUCCCUUGCGGAUGGAGCUGAAAUCAGUCGAAGAUACCAGCUGGCUGCAACUGUUUAUUAAAAACACAGCACUGUGCAAACACGAAAGUGGACGUAUACGGUGUGACGCCUGCCCGGUGCCGGAAGGUUAAUUGAUGGGGUUAGCGGUAACGCGAAGCUCUUGAUCGAAGCCCCGGUAAACGGCGGCCGUAACUAUAACGGUCCUAAGGUAGCGAAAUUCCUUGUCGGGUAAGUUCCGACCUGCACGAAUGGCGUAAUGAUGGCCAGGCUGUCUCCACCCGAGACUCAGUGAAAUUGAACUCGCUGUGAAGAUGCAGUGUACCCGCGGCAAGACGGAAAGACCCCGUGAACCUUUACUAUAGCUUGACACUGAACAUUGAGCCUUGAUGUGUAGGAUAGGUGGGAGGCUUUGAAGUGUGGACGCCAGUCUGCAUGGAGCCGACCUUGAAAUACCACCCUUUAAUGUUUGAUGUUCUAACGUUGGCCCCUAAUCGGGGUUGCGGACAGUGUCUGGUGGGUAGUUUGACUGGGGCGGUCUCCUCCUAAAGAGUAACGGAGGAGCACGAAGGUUGGCUAAUCCUGGUCGGACAUCAGGAGGUUAGUGCAAUGGCAUAAGCCAGCUUGACUGCGAGCGUGACGGCGCGAGCAGGUGCGAAAGCAGGUCAUAGUGAUCCGGUGGUUCUGAAUGGAAGGGCCAUCGCUCAACGGAUAAAAGGUACUCCGGGGAUAACAGGCUGAUACCGCCCAAGAGUUCAUAUCGACGGCGGUGUUUGGCACCUCGAUGUCGGCUCAUCACAUCCUGGGGCUGAAGUAGGUCCCAAGGGUAUGGCUGUUCGCCAUUUAAAGUGGUACGCGAGCUGGGUUUAGAACGUCGUGAGACAGUUCGGUCCCUAUCUGCCGUGGGCGCUGGAGAACUGAGGGGGGCUGCUCCUAGUACGAGAGGACCGGAGUGGACGCAUCACUGGUGUUCGGGUUGUCAUGCCAAUGGCACUGCCCGGUAGCUAAAUGCGGAAGAGAUAAGUGCUGAAAGCAUCUAAGCACGAAACUUGCCCCGAGAUGAGUUCUCCCUGACCCUUUAAGGGUCCUGAAGGAACGUUGAAGACGACGACGUUGAUAGGCCGGGUGUGUAAGCGCAGCGAUGCGUUGAGCUAACCGGUACUAAUGAACCGUGAGGCUUAACCUUACAACGCCGAAG